rnacentral:rRNA from 1 species
AUUGAACGCUGGCGGCAUGCCUUACACAUGCAAGUCGAACGGCAGCACGGGUGCUUGCACCUGGUGGCGAGUGGCGAACGGGUGAGUAAUACAUCGGAACGUACCUUAUCGUGGGGGAUAACGCAGCGAAAGCUGUGCUAAUACCGCAUACGCCCUGAGGGGGAAAGCGGGGGAUCGCAAGACCUCGCGCGAUUAGAGCGGCCGAUGCCUGAUUAGCUAGUUGGUGGGGUAAAAGCCCACCAAGGCGACGAUCAGUAGCUGGUCUGAGAGGACGAUCAGCCACACUGGGACUGAGACACGGCCCAGACUCCUACGGGAGGCAGCAGUGGGGAAUUUUGGACAAUGGGGGCAACCCUGAUCCAGCAAUGCCGCGUGAGUGAAGAAGGCCUUCGGGUUGUAAAGCUCUUUUGUCAGGGAAGAAACACCGGCUCUAACACAGUCCGGGAAUGACGGUACCUGAAGAAGCCCCGGCCAACUACGUGCCAGCAGCCGCGGUAA